rnacentral:rRNA from 1 species
UGGGGAAUAUUGCGCAAUGGGCGAAAGCCUGACGCAGCAACGCCGCGUGAGUGAUGAAGGCCUUCGGGUCGUAAAGCUCUGUCGGAGGGAACGAAUGCUCCUGAAGUUAACAGCCUCAGGAGGUGACGGUACCCUCAAAGGAAGCACCGGCUAACUCUGUGCCAGCAGCCGCGGUAAUACAGGGGGUGCGAGCGUUAAUCGGAAUUACUGGGCGUAAAGGGCGCGUAGGCGGUCGAGUAAGUCGGAUGUGAAAUCCCCGGGCUUAACCUGGGAAUUGCAUUCGAUACUGCUUGGCUAGAGUGUGGAAGAGGGAAGCGGAAUUUCCGGUGUAGCGGUGAAAUGCGUAGAUAUCGGAAGGAACACCAGUGGCGAAGGCGGCUUCCUGGUCCAACACUGACGCUGAGGCGCGAAAGCGUGGGGAGCAAACAGGAUUAGAUACCCCCGUAGUCCCUGAGCGGGCUGGCAAGGCGCAU